UCAGAACUGUCUUUACCGCUAACAAGGUCUAAAUGAAACUGUCGCCAUGGAUAAUGUUUGUGUCUUGCGUUGUGACUGUCCUGACAAAGGCCUGUCCCGUUGGGGAGUAGAUGAAGCUUAACAUUCACAGGCCUUGGGAGCCAUGGAUGGAGAGACUCCGGCUGUCUGCCAAGCAGAACCUGGCAGAUCUUUGGCAAGGUGGUUGCCCUGAGACAACUCUUGCCCUGAGACAAUCGGGAAGGCUUGGGGAGAAGGACUUUCUCCAGAAUACCUACUUGAUAAACCUUCUUGACUGACUGUGCCUAUUUGUAAUCUCUGCUCACAACUGGGUCCUUGACAAAACCUACUAUAAACUUCUCAACCAUCAAUUAUACAUAAAAAAUGUGGGUGAAAUGAUGGAGAAGAAUUCAACAAAUAGCAUUGCUCAUAAUGGAGAGAAGAUUCUACCUUCUACAAUAUGUAAUUUGAUGAAAUAUGCUAAGCAAGGUUGGGAGAAAAUAGAACCAUUAUUUGUUGUCCGAGCUCCUGGAUCACACGCUACCACUUGCUUAUCUCACUGGGCUCAAGCUUUUCCUGUGGCAUGCCCCCCUGUUCAUCUACCUAUCUGCCUCGCCCAUGGUUUGCUGAAUGCUCCCGGUGAGCCUGGUAUCCUGAAGGACCUUCAUAUCCGCUGUGGUUGGGUUCUCUCAGCUUUCUGCUUGGCCUUGGUCAAAGCCACGGUACACUCCAACUCUUCAGCUCUGGCCCGAAUGCCUUGA
rnacentral:lncRNA from 1 species